UGCCUGUCCGAGCGUCAUUUCUGCCCUCAAGCACGGCUUGUGUGUUGGGUGCGGUCCCCCCGGGGGCCUGCCCGAAAGGCAGCGGCGACGUCCGUCUGGUCCUCGAGCGUAUGGGGCUUUGUCACUCGCUCGGGAAGGACUGGCGGGGGUUGGUCACCACCACAAAAUUUUACCACGGUUGACCUCGGAUCAGGUAGGAGUUACCCGCUGAACUUAAGCAUAUCAAUAAGCGGAGGAAAAGAAACCAACCGGGAUUGCCUCAGUAACGGCGAGUGAAGCGGCAAGAGCUCAAAUUUGAAAUCUGGCCCCCUCGGGGUCCGAGUUGUAAUUUGCAGAGGAUGCUUCGGGAGCGGUCCCCAUCUAAGUGCCCUGGAACGGGCCGUCAUAGAGGGUGAGAAUCCCGUCUGGGAUGGGCGGCCGCGCCCGUGUGAAGCUCCUUCGACGAGUCGAGUUGUUUGGG
rnacentral:rRNA from 1 species